UGUAAAUGAUGAGAAGGCUUUCCCGACAUCGCUGUGAGGGUACAAACUGAUUUAAUGAGCCUGAUGC